rnacentral:rRNA from 2 species
AAAUUGAAGAGUUUGAUCAUGGCUCAGAUUGAACGCUGGCGGCAGGCCUAACACAUGCAAGUCGAACGGUAACAGGAAACAGCUUGCUGUUUCGCUGACGAGUGGCGGACGGGUGAGUAAUGUCUGGGAAACUGCCUGAUGGAGGGGGAUAACUACUGGAAACGGUAGCUAAUACCGCAUAACGUCGCAAGA